rnacentral:rRNA from 1 species
GUGCCAGCCGCCGCGGUAAUACGGAGGGUGCAAGCGUUGUUCGGAAUUACUGGGCGUAAAGCGCGUGUAGGCGGCGGCGCAAGUCGGGUGUGAAAGCCCUGGGCUCAACCGAGGAAUUGCGCUCGAAACUGCGCUGCUAGAGUACGAGAGAGGGACGUGGAAUUCCUGGUGUAGAGGUGAAAUUCGUAGAUAUCAGGAGGAACACCUGUGGCGAAGGCGACGUCCUAGAUCGAUACUGACGCUGAGACGCGAAAGCGUGGGGAGCAAACAGGAUUAGAUACCCGUGUAGUCC